rnacentral:rRNA from 1 species
UAGGGAAUCUUCGGCAAUGGAUGGAAGUCUGACCGAGCAACGCCGCGUGAGUGAAGAAGGUUUUCGGAUCGUAAAGCUCUGUUGUAGGAGAAGAACGAGUGUGAGAGUGGAAAGUUCACACUGUGACGGUAUCUUACCAGAAAGGGACGGCUAACUACGUGCCAGCAGCCGCGGUAAUACGUAGGUCCCGAGCGUUGUCCGGAUUUAUUGGGCGUAAAGCGAGCGCAGGCGGUUAGAUAAGUCUGAAGUUAAAGGCUGUGGCUUAACCAUAGUACGCUUUGGAAACUGUUUAACUUGAGUGCAAGAGGGGAGAGUGGAAUUCCAUGUGUAGCGGUGAAAUGCGUAGAUAUAUGGAGGAACACCGGUGGCGAAAGCGGCUCUCUGGCUUGUAACUGACGCUGAGGCUCGAAAGCGUGGGGAGCAAACAGGAUUAGAUACCCUGGUAGUCCACGCCGUAAACGAUGAGUGCUAGGUGUUAGACCCUUUCCGGGGUUUAGUGCCGCAGCUAACGCAUUAAGCACUCCGCCUGGGGAGUACGACCGCAAGGUUG